rnacentral:rRNA from 1 species
UAAUACGGAGGGUGCAAGCGUUAAUCGGAAUUACUGGGCGUAAAGCGCACGCAGGCGGUUUGUUAAGUCAGAUGUGAAAUCCCCGGGCUCAACCUGGGAACUGCAUUUGAAACUGGCAAGCUAGAGUCUCGUAGAGGGGGGGUAGAAUUCCAGGUGUAGCGGUGAAAUGCGUAGAGAUCUGGAGGAAUACCGGUGGCGAAGGCGGCCCCCUGGACGAAGACUGACGCUCAGGUGCGAAAGCGUGGGGAGCAAACAGGAUUAGAUACCCUGGUAGUCCACGCUGUAAACGAUGUCGAUUUGGAGGUUGUGCCCUUGAGGCGUGGCUUCCGGAGCUAACGCGUUAAAUCGACCGCCUGGGGAGUACGGCUGCAAGGUUA